rnacentral:tRNA from 1 species
GCCGCGCUGGCGGAGUUCGGCGCCGGUGCCUGCGGCGCGCGGUUGCCUGGGCCCGUGCCCGGCAACCCCGGCGUGCCUCCCGGCGGUUCCGCGCC